rnacentral:rRNA from 1 species
UACGGAGGGUGCAAGCGUUGUUCGGAAUUAUUGGGCGUAAAGGGCAGGUAGGUGGUCUUGAAAGUCUACUGUGAAAUCCCUGAGCUUAACUUAGGAAGUGCGGUGGAUACUCCAAGACUAGAGUGCUGGAGGGGUGCGUGGAAUUCCCGGUGUAGCGGUGAAAUGCGUAGAUAUCGGAAGGAACACCAGUGGCGAAGGCGGCUACCUGGAUUGAUACUGACACUGAGGCGCGAAAGCGUGGGGAGCAAACAGG